rnacentral:lncRNA from 1 species
GCGAAGUAAACGCAAAACAAACCUAUUUUGAGAGUCGUAGCCGCAUGGGUGUCACUUUUGCAUCCAAUCCAAGUCCCUUAAGGCGGCCGUUGCGAGAAAAACAGCUGAUCGUCUCUGCGAGCCGUGUUUUCUGUUCUGUCACCUACAGUGCUGCGAAAAGAAUGUGAUCGCGACUACCGGGGAGUAUUUUCGUCGCAGAGGAAUAUCGGAAGCUGCGAAGAACAAGGAAAACAUGGGAUUCUAGCUGCAAGGUGACGAAAAGGAAAAAAAAAAUAAAAUUGUUAUGAACUGGGGAAGCCUGUACUUCUAUCGUCUAAAAUCUACUGCAGCAUCCGGAGCUUGUCGAUGGAGUGAGGGGCAUGCGUUCGGCUACCUAAUGCAUCGCAGGCACCCUCUAACAUCUCCUGGCUGCCACUGGGCCUGGAGUU